AGAGUUUGAUCAUGGCUCANAACGAACGUUGGCGGCGUGGUUGAGGCAUGCAAGUCGCACGAGAACGGGGUAGCAAUACUCCUAGUAAAGUGGCGGAAGGGUGAGUAAUGGGUAGAUAACGUACCUUUGAGAUGGGCAUAACGGCUCGAAAGAGCCGCUAAUUCCCGGUAAGACCACGGUGGGGCAUCCCACAGGGGUCAUAGGCGGGGGAUCUUCGGACCUCGCGCUCAAAGAUCGGUCUAUUCCCUACCAGCUAGUUGGUAAGGUAACGGCUUACCAAGGCUACGAUGUCUAGGGGUUCUGAGAGGAAGGUCCCCCACACUGGUACUGAGACACGGACCAGACUCCUACGGGAGGCAGCAGUGAGGAAUAUUGGUCAAUGGGCGAGAGCCUGAACCAGCCAUCCCGCGUGCAGGAAGAAGGCCCUAUGGGUUGUAAACUGCUUUUACGCAAGAAGAAUGGUACCCUCGUGAGGGUAUUUGACGGUACUGCGUGAAUAAGCACCGGCUAACUCCGUGCCAGCAGCCGCGGUAAUACGGAGGGUGCAAGCGUUAUCCGGAUUUAUUGGGUUUAAAGGGUGCGUANGCGGUAUUAUAAGUCAGUGGUGAAAUCCUGCAGCUUAACUGUAGCAUUGCCAUUGAAACUGCAGUACUUGAGUUAUCUUGAAGUAGGCGGAAUGUGUAGUGUAGCGGUGAAAUGCUUAGAUAUUACACAGAACACCGAUUGCGAAGGCAGCUUACUAAGGGUACACUGACGCUGANGCACGAAAGCGUGGGGAUCGAACAGGAUUAGA
rnacentral:rRNA from 1 species